rnacentral:rRNA from 1 species
GGGGCUACCCGCUGAGUUUAAGC